UACGGGAGGCAGCAGCUAAGAAUAUUCCGCAAUGGACGAAAGUCUGACGGAGCGACGCCGCGUGGAUGAUGAAGGUCGGAAGAUUGUAAAAUCCUUUUAUAACUGAGGAAUAAGCCUUAGGAGAGAAACGUAAGGUGGUGACUGUAGGUUAUGAAUAAGCAACGGCUAAUUACGUGCCAGCAGCCGCGGUAACACGUAAGUUGCGAGCGUUGUUCGGAAUUAUUGGGCGUAAAGGGCAUGUAGGCGGUUUUGCAAGCUUGGUGUGAAAUCUCGGAGCUCAACUCCGAAAUUGCGUUGAGAACUGCAUAACUAGAGUCACUGAGGGGCAAUCAGAAUUCCAGGUGUAGGGGUGAAAUCUGUAGAUAUCUGGAAGAAUACCAAUGGCGAAGGCAGGUUACCAGCAGAUGACUGACGCUGAGGUGCGAAGGUGCGGGGAGCAAACAGGAUUAGAUACCCUGGUA
rnacentral:rRNA from 1 species